UUGAAUUUUGGGAAAAGAGAAAAAAGAAAAACAAUGAAUAAACAGAGAGAAGAGAGAGGAGAAUGAGAGAUCGUGAAAAUAUUUCCCUUUUUUCCCCAUCCCCCUAAUAAAAAUAAAAAAAUAAAUAAAAUAAGUAUUUUAAACCUAAAACAAAAAUAAACCAAAAUUAUUUCCCCUAUCACACGCAUGAGGACUCAAACCUAGAACCCCAAGGAAAACUAACUCACAACCAAUCACCA
rnacentral:lncRNA from 1 species